rnacentral:hammerhead_ribozyme from 1 species
AUCCAGUUGACGAGUCCCAAAUAGGACGAAACGCGCGUUCUGGUU